GCUGUUUCACCUAAAACUGCAUUUUUUAGAAUGGAUCACAAGAUUGCCUCUAACUUAUGCAUUAUGUAUUAAGUCGGUAACAAUAAAGGGAUGGUAUCGAUUGCAUUAGUGUGUGUAUUCACAUAGGAGAUAAGGCCCAUACAAAGAGGAUACCACAUUACUUUUCGUUUGCAAACACCCUAUAUAGCUGGCUUUUGAAGAACUAAACAUUCACUUCCAUGCAAGAUAGGGCCUGCAAAUGGAAGAUGUUGCAGUUUUUUCCUUCUUUUUUCACA
rnacentral:lncRNA from 1 species